rnacentral:piRNA from 1 species
UGCCACUCUGUCCUAAUGACAUUCC